AGUGUCAUUUACUAAAAUGAUAUCUGAAAUAGAUUCAUGGUUACCCUAAAUUCCCCUUAAACCCUGCGAAUGAUAUCGGAAUCCACCAUAUAGAAUAGAGCAGAAAACACAAUACAUUUCAGAGAAUCAGAGAACUCAGAACUAAUUUCUCGCUCACCAACAAACUCAAAGAUGGCUUGGCGCGGAUCUGCAUCUAGAUCUUUCUUCUCCGCUGCAAGAGCUAUGCGUUCAACAGCAGCACCACUUCCUCGUAUCCGUCCAACACCAGUAAUGGCUACUCCUCGUAUCCAAGCACCUCGUUUCAAUUUUUCCAAUCCAAGGACUUUGGGUGAAAUAGGGUGUACUCAGUCACUACUAACGUUGCAUAGCAUUGUUGCCGCUCCUCGUCUCACAUCCCACCUCGCAGUCAACGUGCGAGCGUGCUGUGAGCUCUCACAGGGUACCUUCUGCCGCACUUGUCCAGAUCGCUAGGAACGGCAAGGAUAGGUGACGCAGAGAGAGAGUGAAAAAGCCGCGAGAUGAUGAUUACUAAAACUUGUACUUGACAGGAUUGUGGUAUCUUUUGAGUGCUUUGGUAUCUUGAGAUCUAUGACAGUCAGGUUAAUCUCAUGGAAGCUCUUUUCGCUUGCGAGUAAGAUAAAAACAAAUAAGAAUCUUGUCUUUUUAUGUCGACAUAUAUAAGAAACUCCAUUACCAGCUAAAUUUUUAAAGAGGCAUUUGGUUCAAUUCAAUUUAUCUGGUGUAACUAUCUUUUGAAUUUGAGUUGUGAUUUUAGAAAUCCAUGUUAUCUUGUUUA